rnacentral:rRNA from 1 species
UACGUAGGCAGCGAGCGUUGUUCGGAGUUACUGGGCGUAAAGCGUGCGUAGGCGGUUGUCUAAGUUUGGUGUGAAAUCUCCUGCUUAACUGGGAGGGUGCGCCGAAAACUGGAAGGCUUGAGUAUGGGAGAGGUAAGCGGAAUUCCUGGUGUAGCGGUGAAAUGCGUAGAUAUCAGGAGGAACACCUGCGGUGUAGACGGCUUACUGGACCAUAACUGACGCUGAGGCACGAAAGCCGUGGGUAGCAAACAGG